GUGAGGUGGCCAGGGUCAGAGAGGCAGGGUGAGGUGGCCAGGAUCAGAGAGGCAGGGUGAGGUGGCCAGGAUCAGAGAGGCAGGGUGAGGUGGCCAGGGUCAGAGAGGCAGGGUGAGGUGGCCAGGAUCAGAGAGGCAGGGUGAGGUGGCCAGGGUCAGAGAGGCAGGGUGAGGUGGCCAGGAUCAGAGAGGCAGGGUGAGGUGGCCAGGGUCAGAGAGGCAGGGUGAGGUGGCCAGGGUCAGAGAGGCAGGGUGAGGUGGCCAGGGUCAGAGAGGCAGGGUGAGGUGGCCAGGAUCAGAGAGGCAGGGUGAGGUGGCCAGGGUCAGAGAGGCAGGGUGAGGUGGCCAGGAUCAGAGAGGCAGGGUGAGGUGGCCAGGGUCAGAGAGGCAGGGUGAGGUGGCCAGGAUCAGAGAGGCAGGGUGAGGUGGCCAGGGUCAGAGAGGCAGGGUGAGGUGGCCAGGAUCAGAGAGGCAGGGUGAGGUGGCCAGGGUCAGAGAGGCAGGGUGAGGUGGCCAGGGUCAGAGAGGCAGGGUGAGAAGGCCAGGGUCAGAGAGGCAGGGUGAGGUGGCCAGGGUCAGAGAGGCAGGGUGAGGUGGCCAGGGUCAGAGAGGCAGGUUGAGGUGGCCAGGGUCAGAGUAGUGCAGAAGAUGCCGCAUGCUGAAGCAGUGAAGAAAGUAGAGGGAGGAUCAAGGGUAAGAGAUUCUGAGACGAACCCUGUGAAUAUUAGAUCUCUGCUAGAACAGAGGGAUAAGCCAAUGAGUGAUACGUUUCAGUAAGGUUAGCUUCUUAGCAAUGGUUAUCAACUGUACUGAAGAGAUGGAACGUUAGUCACAGAAAAUAGAUGUGGUGGCAGCUGCAGAGAAGUACUUGGGGGUACAAGAUUUGACUUCAGAAGAGUUACAGGGUGUGUUGAGUGGUAGUGUCCUGUCAUCUCAGGUCAGUGGCCUGGGGUAGGACGAGAUCGGUUUAAAGUAGUUUAAUAAGGUAUAAAAAUGUAAAAAAUAUAUUAGGUGAACAAUCGGUAAGUAAAGAAAUAAAACAGUAAAAAGACAGGCUAUAUACAGUAGCGAGGCUAUAAAAGUAGUGAGGCUACAUACAGACACCGGUUAACAACCACAAUAACAACAAACAUGUGACACCCUUGUAGGUUACAACGGUAUGUCUUUUUAUGGGGCACGUCGUAAAAAUUACAUUCAAAAGGUUGUUUUAUUGAGUUAAGAAUUUAACCGAUCCCAUCCCCAAUUAAUACACAGAGAGAACAUUUACACAUCUCUGCCUUUAACACAACGUCAGGACCAGAAAUGUUGGACAAGAACAUGUCAUCCAUCAUGGAAUAAAAAUGAAUUCAUGUAAGGCGAUUACUUGAGAGGUUGUGUACUCUGCUCAUUUAGUCUGACAUAUUUUUUGGAGUUUCCCAAGUACAGCCAUUACAUUUACUCCAUUUAUACCAUUUCAAGGUCAGAUGUAUGUUUUAGGGCUCCAGAGUGGCGCAGCGGUCAGACCCUGGUUUUAUUCCAGGCUGUAUCACAACCCACCAUGAUUGGGAGUCCCAUAGGGCGGCGCACAAUUGGCCCAGCGUUGUCCGGGUUUGGGUUUGGCCGGGGUAGGCAGUCAUUGUAAAUAAGAAUUGCUUCUUAAACUGACUUGCCUAG